GCAGUUCCUUGCCAAUUUUUGAUAGCAUUGCGUUCAUCCACUUUCUCAGGCAGGGACUAUAGGAAAUGAAGGUGAACUCGUGGAGAUUUUGGAGAGAAUUUAAUGAAGAGGCUGUUUACCAAGGAUCUCUCUCUGUCUCCGAGGCUGGAGUGCAAUGUUGCAAUCAGGGCUCACUGCAGCCUCGACCUCCUGGGCUCAACUGAUCUUCGUACCACAGCCUCAUGAGUAACUGGGACUACAGAUAGUAUCUCAUGAUAUGAAUGGUCCUGGAUUUACUUACACAUCCUCCUUUGGAUGAGCAAGUAAGUGGUUUCCAAUUUUUUCCACUAUUAUACAGAAUACGCAAAUGAAUAUCCUUGCACUUACAUGAUUUAUUUCUUAAAAUAAAUUCUUAUGAGUGCAAUUCUUUU
rnacentral:lncRNA from 10 species